rnacentral:rRNA from 1 species
UACAGAGGGGGCAAGCGUUUAUUCGGAAUUAUUGGGCGUAAAGGGCGCGUAGGCGGCUUUGCAAGUGGCGGGUGAAAUCCCUCGGCUUAACCGAGGAACUGCCUGCCAGACUGUGAGGCUUGAGACCGGGAGAGGUGAGUGGAAUUCCCCAGUGUAGCGGUGAAAUGCGUAGAUAUUGGGGAGGAACACCAGUGGCGAAGGCGGCUCACUGGGCCGGUACUGACGCUGAGGAGCGAAAGCGUGGGUAGCAAACAGG